GAUGAAGAACGUAGUGAAAUGCGAUAAUUAAUGUGAAUUGCAGAAUUCAGUGAAUCAUCGAGUCUUUGAACGCACAUUGCGCCCCCUGGUAUUCCGGGGGGCAUGCCUGUCCGAGCGUCAUUGCUGCCCUCAAGCACGGCUUGUGUGUUGGGCUUCCGUCCCUGGCAACGGGGACGGGCCCAAAAGGCAGUGGCGGCACCAUGUCUGGUCCUCGAGCGUAUGGGGCUUCGUCACCCGCUCCCGUAGGUCCAGCUGGCAGCUAGCCUCGCAACCAAUCUUUUUAACCAGGUUGACCUCGGAUCAGGUAGGGAUACCCGCUGAACUUAAGCAUAUCAAUAAGCGGAGGA
rnacentral:misc_RNA from 1 species